rnacentral:rRNA from 1 species
ACUGUCAAGAAAAGCUUCUAUCGAGUUUAAAGGCGCCCGUACCGUAAACCGACACAGGUGGGUGAGGAGAGUAUCCUAAGGCCAGCGAGAGAACUAUUGUUAAGGAACUCGGCAAAAUGACCCCGUAACUUAGGGAGAAGGGGUGCCUGUCUAUGACAGGCCGCAGAGAAUAGGCCCAAGCGACUGUUUACCAAAAACACAGGUUUCUGCUAAGUCGCAAGACGAUGUAUAGGAGCUGACGCCUGCCCGGUGCUGGAAGGUUAAGGGGAUCUGUUAGAGCAAUCGAAGCAGUGAACUUAAGCCCCAGUAAACGGCGGCCGUAACCAUAACGGUCCUAAGGUAGCGAAAUUCCUUGUCGGGUAAGUUCCGACCCGCACGAAAGGCGUAACGAUUUGGGCACUGUCUCAACAAUAGACUCGGUGAAAUUGUAAUCCCGGUGAAGAUGCCGGGUACCUGCGACAGGACGGAAAGACCCCAUGGAGCUUUACUGUAGCUUGACGUUGGGUCUUGGUACUACAUGUACAGGAUAGGUGGGAGACUAUGAAGCAUGGACGCCAGUCUGUGUGGAGUCAUCCUUGGGAUACCACCCUUGUAGUACUGGGAUCCUAACCAUAGGCCUUGAAUCAGGUCUUGGAACACCGUCAGGUGGGCAGUUUGACUGGGGCGGUCGCCUCCUAAAAAGUAACGGAGGCGCUCAAAGGUUUCCUCAGCACGGUCGGAAAUCGUGCGAAGAGUGUAAAGGCAAAAGGAAGCUUGAUUGCAAGACAUACAGGUCGAGCAAGAACGAAAGUCGGACUUAGUGAUCCGGUGGUACCGCAUGGAAGGGCCAUCGCUCAACGGAUAAAAGCUACCCUGGGGAUAACAGGCUUAUCUCCCCCAAGGGUCCACAUCGACGGGGAGGUUUGGCACCUCGAUGUCGGCUCAUCACAUCCUGGGGCUGUAGUAGGUCCCAAGGGUUGGGCUGUUCGCCCAUUAAAGUGGUACGCGAGCUGGGUUCAGAACGUCGUGAGACAGUUCGGUCCCUAUCCGUCGCAGGCGUAGGAAAUUUGAGAAGACCUGUCCUUAGUACGAGAGGACCGGGAUGGACGUACCUCUGGUGUACCAGUUGUUCUGCCAAGGGCAUGGCUGGGUAGCUAUGUACGGAAUGGACAGGCGCUGAAAGCAUCUAAGCGCUAAGCCAACUUCAAGAUAAGAUUUCCCACCGUAA